AACUGCUUGUGCUUUGUUAUUCUUAAUAUUGCCUUACCUGUCUGAAGUCUGACAGAGGCUUACCUGAGGGAAUGUGGAGGAGUUCUGCUGACACUAAACGGAUCACAGGAGCAGCUCGCUACACGCCUUCCUGAUGGAGACAUCACCGCAUAGCUAUGCAGAGCGAGAGACCGCAGGCACCGUCAUGUUUCAAGGACUUUCAGCCAGAACAAUGGAGGAAUAUGGAGCUACUCCUAGACUUUCGUUAACCCCUCUGAGUACUUUGGUGAAAAUACAACUAGCUCCAGCAAGUCUUCAUCAGGUUCCCUGGUUCUUCACAGCUGUAUUUUGAUUUAGCCACACCUGGUUCCCAAGCCACUCAUCAAUCCUCUUCCCUUCAGUUCCUUCCCUCUUUGCCAGAUACUUUUGUUCCUCUUUUUGUCUGUAUCCUCCAUGCAGGUUUCGCUGUCUUUGCUCGGUCCUCUCAGGUCACAGUUCCACCUCAUCAACAUGAGGCUGCUAUGUUCUAUCCUAGGUUUGAACUAAAUAAUUCAAAGAAAAAAAAA